GACGAACGCUGGCGGCGUGCCUAAUACAUGCAAGUAGAACGCACAGUUUAUACCGUAGCUUGCUACACCAUAGACUGUGAGUUGCGAACGGGUGAGUAACGCGUAGGUAACCUGCCUGGUAGCGGGGGAUAACUAUUGGAAACGAUAGCUAAUACCGCAUAAUAUUGAUUAUUGCAUGAUAAUUAAUUGAAAGGUGCAAUUGCACCACUACCAGAUGGACCUGCGUUGUAUUAGCUAGUAGGUGAGGUAACGGCUCACCUAGGCGACGAUACAUAGCCGACCGGAGAGGGGGGUCGGCCACACUGGGACUGAGACACGGCCCAGACGCCUACGGGAGGCAGCAGUAGGGAAUCUUCGGCAAUGGACGAAAGUCUGACCGAGCAACGCCGCGUGAGUGAAGAAGGGUUUCGGAUCGUAAAGCUCUGUUGUAAGAGAAGAACGGGUGUGAGAGUGGAAAGUUCACACUGUGACGGUAUCUGAACAGAAAGGGACGGCUAACUACGUG
rnacentral:rRNA from 1 species